AAGUCGUAACAAGGUUUCAGUAGGUGAAUUUGCGGAAGGAUCAUUAACACGUAUUCAAACGUUAAAACCCCCCCCGUGAACCUUCAUCCUGCUCUUGUAACCCGCGUAGUUUCCAAUCUCUGAUAAAUCAUAGCCCGGAAAGUUGUAGUGAUUCAGAGACCUCCACAGUUUAAUGUGAAGCUCAAUGUAAUACAUUGGGUAAAAAAACCGAACAACUGUUAACAAUGGAUAUCUUGGUUCUC
rnacentral:misc_RNA from 1 species